GUCUGUGGCCAUGCCACCUUGAACAAGCUCGAUCCCAUCUGAUCUCGGAAGCUAAGCAAGGUUAGGCCUGGUUAGUACUUGAAUGGGAGACCACCUAGGAAUACCAGGUGCUGUAGACA
rnacentral:rRNA from 1 species